rnacentral:ribozyme from 13 species
UUCAAAACAGAAGAUAGAAAGAAAAAGCAGAAGAAAAAAAAAACGCGCUUUUACGGCACUGUGCAUUCAUGAAAUACAAUGAGCUUCAAGCCGCUGCGUGGGUCGUCUUUGUUUUCUUCCUUUUCCUCUUUUUCUUCUACUCAUAUGAGUCAUAUUAUCUACCCAAAACUGGG